GGACAUGCCACUCCAGACAGAACUCAACUUCCCUAGUGACUAUUGGCUAUCCAACCUCUCCUCCAGAAGAUAGAUGUCUACCAACUAGGAAGAGAGCCCUCACCAGGAACCAAAUCUGCUGACACCUGGAUCUUGAACUUCCCAGCCAACAGAAUUGUGAGGAAUAAAUGUAUGUAUUUUAA